rnacentral:lncRNA from 1 species
CUGAUGUGUCUGUGGUGAGCAGCAGUGUAUCUGGACAUGAAGGUGGUGAUAUCAGUGUUCAGUGUUUUCUACAGUUCUGGAUAUCAGAAUGAAGUCAAACAGUGGUGCAGAUAUAAAGAUCAGAGCUGUUACACAGUGGGGAGGACUAACACAUCCCAGAAUUCAUCAGUCCAGAUCAGUGAUGAUGGAGAAGAUCCUUCACUGUGCUGAUGACUGGACUGAGACUCACUGAUUCUGGCUGGUACUACUGUUCUGCUGGAGAUCUGCAGGCUCCUGUUCACCUCACAGUCACUGAAUUCAAAAGAACUAUGACAGCUUCAAGACCUGUGACAGAUGUAGCUGAAACCCAUCCAGCUCAAACAUCAGCCACAAAGACUGUUAAUAGUGAAAUACACAGCACGGAUGAGAAAAACAAGCAUGAUGUGAUUCUGGUGAUGUUUCUUCCAGUGAUGCUUGUGCUCUUACUGUUUGUAACUCUUGUUGCCAUAGUAACCUGGAGACUGAGAAAGAAACCAGAGAGAAGUCAAAUUGGAGAAGAACAUUUUAACAGCACCAGAAAUACAGUAAGUAUUUUAGAAUGA